UUUUGUUGAGAGCUUCUUCGCGAGGUACACAAUACAUGGAAAGGUAGGUCUCAAUUUUGUUGAAUUCACCAUCUCCAUUAAGAAACACUAGAGCUCAUUCAUUUAGAAUCCCUAAAAUGGAGCUAAGGCUAGAAUUGGUGAUAGUAAUUUCAACUCCUUUGACCCAUGAUUUCAAAGAGUUUCCUUGAAAAGUCAUAUUUGAAUAAAACACUUUCACAAGCUUAGGAUAAAAACUACCAGAGUAUUCAACACAUUUUUUCAAUCCACAUUUUUCAAGAUUUUUAGGAAAGGAUAACCGAUCAAAGUUCGAAAGAAUACCGUACUUUGUUGUGAUAACAUGCCAUUCUUGAAAUUCUUUCGGUAAUGUUUCUUCUGAUCUUUGUUUUAGAAGAAUCGCGAUGAAUCUAGAAUGUUCAUAUCUUCCACUUACCUUUCAAUAAUUUCGAUCGAUGGGUUCUUUGUUCUUAGGUUCCUAUAUGGAAGAUUUUGGAGAAAAAGAGGGUCUUUGCGAAUUUUGGGGCUUUUGGAAGAAAUUGGGGAUUUGAGAUGAAAUGAGUGAUGGGAAUGAUGCUAGAUAUGGAUUAUAGGUGAUAAAUGAUGAAGAUUUUGAGGGAAUUUGAUGGUUUGAGGAAGAUUUUUGGAGUGAGUGAGAGCUAGGGUUUGGGUGCCAUCAAGAAGAGAAAACACAAAUGAAAAAAAAGUUGAAAAAAAAAUUUAUAUGGCCGGAACUGGUGUGGUAGUCGAUUACUAGAUAAUGG
rnacentral:lncRNA from 1 species